rnacentral:rRNA from 1 species
UACGUAGGGACCGAGCGUUGUCCGGAAUCAUUGGGCGUAAAGAGCGUGUAGGCGGCCACUUAAGUCCUGCGUGAAAUCUUGCGGCUCAACCGCAAGCGGUCGUGGGAAACUGGGUGGCUAGAGUGCGGGAGAGGAGAGUGGAAUUCCUGGUGUAGCGGUGGAAUGCGCAGAUAUCAGGAGGAACACCAACGGCGAAGGCAGCUCGCUGGGACGGUACUGACACUGAGGCGCGAAAGCUAGGGGAGCGAACAGG